GCCCGAAUGGCGGAACUGGUAGACGCGCUAGAUUCAGGUUCUAGUGGGGGUAACCCCGUGGAGGUUCAAGUCCUCUUUCGGGCA
rnacentral:tRNA from 1 species